rnacentral:rRNA from 1 species
AGUGAACGCUGGCGGUAGGCCUAACACAUGCAAGUCGAACGGCAGCACAGUAAGAGCUUGCUCUUACGGGUGGCGAGUGGCGGACGGGUGAGGAAUACAUCGGAAUCUACUUUUUCGUGGGGGAUAACGUAGGGAAACUUACGCUAAUACCGCAUACGACCUACGGGUGAAAGCAGGGGAUCUUCGGACCUUGCGCGAUUGAAUGAGCCGAUGCCGGAUUAGCUAGUUGGCGGGGUAAAGGCCCACCAAGGCGACGAUCCACAGCUGGUCGGAGAGGAUGAACACCCACACUGAAAGUGAGACAGGGUCCGGAGUACUAAGGGAGACACGAGGGGGGAUUUUUGGACAGUGGGCGAAAGCCUAACCCACCCAUACCGCGUGAGAGAAGAAGGCCUUGGGUUUGUAAAACCGUUUUAUGGAGAAAAAAAAGCAGCAGCAUAAUACCCCGAUAUACUGACGAUACCCAAAGAAAAAGCACCGGCUAACUUCGUG